CGGUGGAAAGGUUGCAAUUGCUGCUUCUCGGUGCAGCAGAUUUUGUUUGUUAUUUGUGCUUUUUGAACCAUCAUUUUACAUUUGUGGCUCUCUAGUGCUUGAGAUAAGGUAAUUUUUUUCCUUUUUUGUUUGUUUCAUCCCUUCUGACUGAGGUUGAUGGAGGGAAUCCAAGAGGAAGAGGGAAGCAGUUUGCUUUUCUGCAGCUUGAUGAGUCUUGCUUUCUUAUGCAACUUAGGUAAGAGCAUCAACCAAGAUGGCAAUAAGGAGGUGAAUCCAAUGAGUUUUCCCUUCUUUUUUCUUUUUUUUUUUUUUGAAUCCUGAAAGUGUUACUACUACACAAGAGAAAUGAAAUUUGAACUGCAAAUUUUUUUAUUAUUCCCUUCAGUCUACUGCAUCAAGAUAUCAAUUUUACUAGUGAGUCUGAUUUUCACUCGUGAAACAAGAAGAUUCAAAUGAACGAUGCAUUUAUUUACCCUCUUGGUAGACUCAAAUUCACAUUGAAAGUCUUAAAUUUGCUGCUUAUAAGACGAUGACAAAGAAAAAGUUUCAGGUGUCGUAGUGAUUUCAAAGUAACGUUGCAAAGAGGAUAAAUCUCACUCUCAAACCUAAUGUCUGG
rnacentral:lncRNA from 1 species